AUUAUUAAAAUAUAAAUGAUAAUUUUAGAUUAGUAUUAAAUAUAUUUAUGAAAUUAAAAUAAUUUGGCAGUAUUUUAGUCUAUUCAGAGGAAUUUGUUUUAUAAUUGAUAGUCCUCAUUAAAUCUUACUUAUUUUAUUUAAUUUGUAUAUCGUUGUCAUUAGAAUAUUUUAUAAGAAAAAUAAAUUUCUUAAAUUAAUAUAAAAUUUUAUGUCAAAUCAAGGUGCAGUUUAUAUAUAAGUAAAAAUGAAUUACAAUAAUAUUGAAUUAUAUGAAUUAAAAAUUGAAAUAUUUUUAUGAAGGUGGAUUUGAUAGUAAAUUUAAAAAUUAAAUUAAAUUGAUUAUAGCUCUAAAAUAUGUAC
rnacentral:rRNA from 1 species